rnacentral:rRNA from 1 species
ACUGAAACAUCUAAGUACCCGGAGGAGAAGAAAACAAAAGUGAUUCCGAUAGUAGCGGCGAGCGAAAUCGGAUUAGCCCAAACCAGUAUUGUUACGGCAAUUCUGGGGUUGUAGGACUGCGUCGUUGGUCGUGUAAUGAACUAGAACGCUUUGGAAAGAGCGGCCAUAGAGGGUGAUAGCCCCGUAAAGGUAAAGAUCAUUGACCAUAGCAGUAUCCUGAGUAGUGCGGGGCACGUGUAACCCUGUAUGAAUCUGUGGGGACCAUCCCAUAAGGCUAAAUACUCCUGAGAGACCGAUAGUGAACUAGUACCGUGAGGGAAAGGUGAAAAGAACCCUGAAUAAGGGAGUGAAAUAGAACCUGAAACCAUACGCUUACAAGCGGUCGGAGCCAUUCGUGGUGACGGCGUGCCUUUUGCAUAAUGAGCCUACGAGUUACCGUUGCUAGCAAGGUUAAGUACUUAAGGUACGGAUCCGUAGCGAAAGCGAGUCUGAACAGGGCGCUUAAGUUAGUAGUGGUAGACGCGAAACCGUGUGAUCUACCCAUGGGCAGGGUGAAGCUGUGGUAACACACAGUGGAGGCCCGAACCGGUUGACGUUGAAAAGUCUUCGGAUGACCUGUGGGUAGGGGUGAAAGGCCAAUCAAACUCGGAAAUAGCUCGUACUCCCCGAAAUGCAUUUAGGUGCAGCGUCGGUUUAGUUUUAUAGAGGUAGAGCUACUGAUUGGAUGCGGGGGCUUCACCGCCUACCAAUUCCUGACAA